rnacentral:rRNA from 1 species
GACGAACGCUGGCGGCGUGCUUAACACAUGCAAGUCGAACGAAGAGCGAUGGAACCUUGCUUCUUUCCAUCUUAGUGGCGCACGUGUGAGUCACGCGUAAUCAACCUGUCCUUCAGAGGGGGACAAUAGUUGGAAACGACUGCUAGUCCCGCAUACGAUCUAAUCUCGGCAUCGAGGAUAGAUGAACGGUGGUCUCGACAUGUAUGCUAUCACUGAAGGAGGGGUUUGUGUCUGAUUAGCUAGCUGGGUGGGUAACGGCCCAUCAAGGGGAUGAUCAGUAGGCGGUCUUGGAGGAUGAACGGCCAAAUUGGGAAUGAGACAACGCCCAGGACCCUACGGGAGGCAGCAGUGGGGAAUCUUCCGCAAUUGAGGGAAGGCUGACGGGGGAACGCCGGGGGGGUGGUGAAGGGCCUCGGGUUGUAAAGCUCUGUUAAUCGGGACGAAAGGACUUCGUGAGAAUAGAGAGACGGAUUGACGGUACCGAAAUAGAAAGCCACGGCUAACUACGUG